GAUCCUGGCUCAGGACGAACGCUGGCGGCGUGCCUAAUACAUGCAAGUAGAACGCUAAAGGAGGAGCUUGCUUCUCUGGAUGAGUUGCGAACGGGUGAGUAACGCGUAGGUAACCUGCCUGGUAGCGGGGGAUAACUAUUGGAAACGAUAGCUAAUACCGCAUAAUAGUAGUUGUUGCAUGACAACUGUUUGAAAGGUACAAUUGCAUCACUACCAGAUGGACCUGCGUUGUAUUAG
rnacentral:rRNA from 1 species